UGCAACGAGACGUUGAAGGAGCGGUGCGCGGAGGACGAAGGUGCCGAUUGGCCCAACAUUAAACACAUCCCUCGUAUUGAUGUCCGAGACUUAGAUCUGUAUUAAUUGCAUUUGAAAAUGAAAGGUGUGUACACUUUUUGUCUUUUUCUUUUGUUUGUUUGCUUUUGUGCUCCUAAGAAAUCAUCUGCAGCUACGCUUGAAAUAGGAGACAAGACUUGAUGUUCAGCGUUCUAGUUUCUUACGUGUAGGGCCACAAGUAUUCAAUUCGGGCUAUAACCUUGCACCUCACGGCUAACAUAACGUAGAAGCCGCUCGACGAGACUGUUUACAAGAUUUUCAUGCUGCUCUUCAUUUCUUACAUAGACUUCUCAGAAGAAGGCAGGUUAUCUUUGAGUCGGGCUGUAAUUUGAUUUUGCGUCUGUUUUCUGCGAGCUUCUUUAGCCGGUGCAGCUAUUUCCUUUUCCCUUACCAUGCAUGAAGUUGGGCUUCUCAUAUCACAAACAAAAGGUGAAAUUUAUGAUAAAUCUACUCCUUAUUUUGCAUAAUAGAGUUCCUAAGAUGAAGGGCGAAUUUCUUCGGUUAGUUGCCUUUUUGUUCUGGUGAUAUGCAGUUCUGCCUUCAAACUUCUUCAUAUGCCAAUUCAGAGAGAAGAUAAGAGAGUAGAAGUUUGAAUCUUUAUGUGCAAACUUCCUUAUUUGCCUCCAUGUUUAAGAAGCUAAAUGAAUAUUGAGGGAGUAAUACCAUUGGAAGACCAAGAUGUACGAGCUUCAUAGGGAGACUAUAUGGUUAGUCAGCAUACGAAGGACCUCCAUUGUCCCUUGAAUACAGAAGUUAUACAUUCUGAAGAUCUUUGCAGUCAAUAUGCCCAACAAAUGGGAGAGACAAUGCCUCGAUCCCUUUAGACCUCAAGACUUCAAGGUGGUUCGAUAACCAAUACUAUCUCAACUUGCUUAGCAGCCUCGGCUUGCUUCAGAGUGAUGAACCACUUGUUUCCGAGAGUGUAGAAGAGAGUGUUAUAGAGUUAGUUUGGGCUUAUGCUCAGGUUUGGGAGUUUUUCUUUAGGGAUUUUGCUAAAUCUAUGAUAAAGAUGGAGAAUAUUAAUGUGCUUGCUGGAAGUGAUGGGCAAACUAGAGAGAACCAUUGUUAUUUCAAUGUUUAGAUGGAGAGUCAGUGAACAAGAUCAAGUUUUAUUUGCUUGUUUAGGAUGCGUUUUUGUCUAGAAUGAUGUAAUGCUGGUAAUGAAACUGAUGGAAGUAUUGAGAUGUUGCA